rnacentral:tRNA from 1 species
UGGGUGUCAAAAAAGCCCUGAAGUUUUUCGACUGAAUGCCGUCUUAGUGAAAGGCGGCACGCGGUUUGUA